rnacentral:rRNA from 1 species
UACGGGGGGGGCAAGCGUUGUUCGGAAUUACUGGGCGUAAAGGGUCUGUAGGUGGCCAAUUAAGUCAGACGUGAAAUCCCUCAGCUUAACUGGGGAACUGCGUCUGAUACUGGAUGGCUUGGAUUUGGGAGAGGGAUGCGGAAUUCCUGGUGUAGCGGUGAAAUGCGCAGAUAUCAGGAAGAACACCUAUGGCGAAGGCAGCUCUCUGGGACGGUACUGACGCUGAGACGCGAAAGCGUGGGGAGCGAACAGG